rnacentral:rRNA from 1 species
UACGGAGGGUGCAAGCGUUAUCCGGAUUCACUGGGUUUAAAGGGUGCGUAGGAGGGCAGGUAAGUCAGUGGUGAAAUCUCCAAGCUUAACUUGGAAACUGCCGUUGAUACUAUCUGUCUUGAAUAUUGUGGAGGUGAGCGGAAUAUGUCAUGUAGCGGUGAAAUGCUUAGAUAUGACACAGAACACCAAUUGCGAAGGCAGCUCACUACACAAUCAUUGACUCUGAGGCACGAAAGCGUGGGGAUCAAACAGG